rnacentral:rRNA from 1 species
AACGAACGCUGGCGGCAGGCUUAACACAUGCAAGUCGAGCGCCCCGCAAGGGGAGCGGCAGACGGGUGAGUAACGCGUGGGAAUCUACCCAUCUCUACGGAAUAACGCAUGGAAACGUGUGCUAAUACCGUAUACGUCCUUCGGGAGAAAGAUUUAUCGGAGAUGGAUGAGCCCGCGUUGGAUUAGCUAGUUGGUGGGGUAAAGGCCUACCAAGGCGACGAUCCAUCGCUGGUCUGAGAGGAUGAUCAGCCACACUGGGACUGAGACACGGCCCAGACUCCUACGGGAGGCAGCAGUGGGGAAUAUUAGACAAUGGGCGCAAGCCUGAUCCAGCCAUGCCGCGUGAGUGAUGAAGGCCUUAGGGUUGUAAAGCUCUUUCGCACGCGACGAUGAUGACGGUAGCGUGAGAAGAAGCCCCGGCUAACUUCGUGCCAGCCGCCGCGGUAACAC